UUGGUGAAUUGAAACAUCUUAUUAGCCAAAAAAAAAAUCAAGCGAGAUAUCGAAAUUAGUUGUGAACGAAAUCGAUUUAGGUUAUCGACGAUGUAUAUCUUUUUUUGAAUAGGUUAAAAAAGGUUAAAAUCCUGUAGGAAAAAGGUCUUCGUUUUCUAGUAUUGCGGUUUUACAGAAUUGCAUGAAAAUUGGAGUACCAUCUUCAACAUCUAAAAAGUCUUAAUAACAGAUAAAAAAAAGUACCGUGAGGGAAAGGAGAGAUAGAAUUUUUUGAAAACUAAAACUUAGUGCUGUUAGCAACUGAAGCUUUAUUAGUAACAGUAGUACCUUUUGCAAAAGGGAUCAACGAGUUUGCAUUUAAGGCGAGUUUAAGUUUUUGCGAUAAACGAAAUAAAAGUGUUUUAAACUAACCCGACAAGAUAGUCUUAUUUGCAAAACCCGAAACCAAGUGAUCUAACUAUGAACAAGCAGAAAAAUAUUGGGAAACUUUUAUUUAAAGGCUGAACUCGUGUAUGUUGCAAAAUACUGAGACGAUUUGUGGUUAGGAGUGAAAGGCUAAUCAAACUUGGAAUAGCUGGUUUUCUGCGAAAUUUAUUUUAGUAAAGCGUUUAAAACUAUUUUCUACGGUAGAGCUCUUUUUUAGUAUAGGGGGUUUAUUAAUCUACUAACCUAUUGAAAACUUCGAAUGUAGUUCUUUAGUUUUAAGCAGUCGGACGUAGAGUGAAAAGAUUCUAAUUCGUCAAAAGGGAUACAGCCCAGAUUAAACGUUAAGGACCUAAAAAAUUAAAAAGUAAAAGGAAGUUAUACAUUUAUUAGAUCUAGGAAAUAGGCUCGGAAGCAGCCACUUUAUAAUGAAAGCGUAAAAGCUCACUAGUUAAAACGUAUAGCGCCGAAAAUUUAAUGGGGUUUAAAUAAUUUUCCGAAACGGUAAGGCUCUUAAUUUUGGAGUUGGUAGCAGAAAUGUUCCGUAUGUUAGAAAAGUUAAAUUGUAAAAUUUAAUGAAAGCAUUGGAAGUAAGAAUGUUGAUAUGAGUAACAAUCAAGAAUGUGAAACAUUCUCGCCGCAAGUUUAAGGGUUUCAUACGUUCAGAUACACUUCGUAGAAAAGGUUUAUUCUUUAUAUUAUUCGGUCUCUAAGAAUAGGAGUGAAAACUUUUUUUGAUGAGUAUACAUAAUUACGAGAGUCGUUCUAGAAGUUGUGACAAAAAGGUUAUAUUUUUUCAAGAAAAUAUCUUAAAACAUUUUAUCUUUUUCAAGAAAUAGCACUUUUAGUUUUACCGUACUUAAUCCGAUACAGGUUAACUGGUUGAAUAUACUAAGGCGUUUGAGGAAAUUGUGUAAAAGGAACUCGGCAAAAUCGCUCUGUAACUUUGGAAGAAAGAGUAACUUUAUACUUGUUAUAAAGUUGUCACAAAAGAGGAAGAAGUAACUGUUUAACAAAAACACAGGUCUCCGCAAAUUCGUGAGAAGAAGUAUUGAGGCUGACAUCUGCCCGGUGCUGAAAAGUUAAGAAAAGGGGGUUUUAGCUUUCUUUUUAUGCUCCAGUAAACGGCGGUUUUAAUCUGAAAAUCCUAAGGUAGCGUAGUACCUUGCCGAAUAAUUAUCGGCUUGCAUGAAUGAUGUAAUAACUUCUUUACUGUCUCUUACACAAACUCAGUGAAAUUGGAAUGCUCGUGAAGAUACGAGCAAAUUAGCGAAAGGACAGAAAGACCCUUAGAUCUUUACUGCAUUUAUUUAUUGUACUUUUUUAUUUUUUUGUAUAGUGUAGGUGGUAACAAAUUAUUUGUAAUUUUGAAAGACCGCUCUUUAAAUAAAAAAGCACUAACUUUAUUUUUAUAGAAGAGAACACUUUAUAAUUGGUAGUUUUGCUGGGGUGGUAUCCUUUUAAAUUGUAACAAAGGAGUACAUAAGAUAAACUCAUAGAAGAUAGCUUUUAGUUGAGUGUAAUAGCAUAAGUUUAUUUGACUGUAAGAGCAACAACUCGAACAGAAGUGAAAGCUGGUUAUAGUGAUCCGACAAAUUUGAAUGGAAAAUUUGCCGCUUAACGAUUAAAAGAUACCUGAGGGAUAACGGCCUAAUUACUCUUAAGAGUUCCUAUUGCUGGAGUAGUUUGGGGCAUCGAUGUCGAUUCAUCAUAUCCUGAAGCUGAAAUUGGUUUCAAGGGUUCGGUUGUUCGCCGAGUAAUAUGGUACGUGAAUUGGGUUCAAAACGCCGUGAGGCAGUUUGGUCCUUAUCCUUCGCUAACAAAAGAAAACUGAAAAACCUAAUUCUUAGUACGAGAGGACCAGAGUAAGUAAACCUAUGGUUGAGCAAUUGUUUUUUAUAGCAUUGUUGCGCAGCUAAGUUUACGAUAGCUAAUUGCUGAAAGCAUCUAAGCAAGAAACUAAUUUUAAGACUUCAUGUUUUCUAGAUGUAAAAAAUGGUGAAAGAUUAUCACUUUGAUAGGUGUUUUGUAUAAAGAAUAGUAAUAUUUUUAGCAAGAACACACUAAAAUU
rnacentral:rRNA from 1 species